GAUGAACGCUAGCGGCAGGCUUAAUACAUGCAAGUCGAGGGGCAGCAGGUCUGUAGCAAUACAGAUGCUGGCGACCGGCAAACGGGUGCGGAACACGUACAGAACCUUCCUUCGAGCGGGGAAUAGCCCAGAGAAAUUUGGAUUAAUACCCCAUAGUAUGGUGAAGAGGCAUCUCUUUACUCUUAAAGAUUUAUCACUUGAAGAUGGCUGUGCGGCUGAUUAGGUAGUUGGCGGGGUAACGGCCCACCAAGCCUACGAUCAGUAACUGGUGUGAGAGCACGACCAGUCACACGGGCACUGAGACACGGGCCCGACUCCUACGGGAGGCAGCAGUAAGGAAUAUUGGUCAAUGGACGAAAGUCUGAACCAGCCAUGCCGCGUGGAGGAUGAAGGUCCUCUGGAUUGUAAACUUCUUUUAUAUGGGACGAAAAAGGGCCUUUCCAGGUCAACUGACGGUACCAUGUGAAUAAGCACCGGCUAACUCCGUGCCAGCAGCCGCCGUAACAC
rnacentral:rRNA from 1 species